rnacentral:rRNA from 1 species
GACGGAAGGUGCAAGCGUUGCUCGGAAUCACUGGGCGUAAAGGGUGCGUAGGCGGCUUGGUGGGUCUGGUGUGAAAGCCCCGGGCUCAGCCCGGGAAGGGCACUAGAAACUGCCGAGCUGGAGUGCCGGAGGGGAGAGUGGAAUUCCCGGUGUAGCGGUGAAAUGCGCAGAUAUCGGGAAGAACACCCGUGGCGAAGGCGGCUCUCUGGGACGGUACUGACGCUGAGACGCGAAAGCGUGGGGAGCGAACAGG